AUUGAACGCUGGCGGAAUGCUUUACACAUGCAAGUCGAGCGGCAGCACGGGGGCAACCCUGGUGGCGAGCGGCGAACGGGUGAGUAACACAUCGGAACAUGCCCAGUCGUGGGGGAUAACACUUCGAAAGAAGUGCUAAUACCGCAUACGUCCUGAGGGAGAAAGCGGGGGAUCGCAAGACCUCGCGCGAUUGGAGUGGCCGAUGUCAGAUUAGCUAGUUGGUGGGGUAAAGGCCUACCAAGGCAACGAUCUGUAGCUGGUCUGAGAGGAUGAUCAGCCACACUGGGGCUGAGACACGGCCCAGACUCCUACGGGAGGCAGCAGUGGGGAAUUUUGGACAAUGGGGGCAACCCUGAUCCAGCCAUUCCGCGUGAGUGAAGAAGGCCUUCGGGUUGUAAAGCUCUUUCGGCAGGAACGAAACGGUGAGCUCUAACAUAGCUUGCUAAUGACGGUACCUGAAAAAGAAGCACCGGCUAACUACGUG
rnacentral:rRNA from 1 species